rnacentral:lncRNA from 1 species
AUUAGAACUUCACAAUAACAGAAUAGCUAAACAUUAUCCACAUUGCAACUAAUAGUAUACCAUAAAAUCUAAAAUAAAAUUUCCUACAGUACAAAUAGCAUCUUAAGCCAAUAGAAGAACUUAAAUUGACAUAAUAACCAAGUUAAAAUUAUAAAGCCACAGCUAACAUCAUAUUUUACCACUCAUAUAAGUCUGAAAUUGAUUAUCAACACUCGUAAGAACUAUGAUAAGCUAUUUCAUACGAAUAUGAUAAUACCAGCUGUCAUAGUACUAAUAAACAGUCCUCAGUCAACUACACACUAGGAUAUGAUUUAGUGUGAAAAUAAUUACAAUUCAAUAGGGAAUUCAGCAGAAGAAACACAAGCAUCACCUCAUUCCAUUCCUAAAAUCUGAAAGAGAUAGGAUAUGUACUUGGAAAUAGCAUGUAAAAUAAGUGAGGAAUCAACAGCAGUAAUCAGAGGGUCAACAGCAACGCAAAAUUGAAUUCAUAGCCCAAAUAAAUACAAUCAAAAUCAGCCCAGAAAUGAAUUGUGGAAUCACAGCAUCAACAAUUAACUAAACGAACUUGAUUUAACAAAAACAAAGUUGCAAUUCAACUCAUGAACAAACUCAGAAACUUCAACGGCCGAACACAAGGAUUUUCAAGCUAUUUUCCUCUUAAGCUAUAAAUUCGAAACAGUUACUAAAACCGUGAAAUUGAUAUAAGGAACUCAAUGUAACAGUAUUUUUGGGGUUUCUGUAGCUUUUUGUGUAUUUUAGUAAGAACUAAGAUCUGAGGGAGGUUCAAAAUUUCAUAUCUGGUUUUUGGAUUUGAAUUUCAAAAUAUAGAUUAUUCACUUGUGGAGAUUUUUGGGGAGUUUUUCAAA